UUUACUUCCUGGUUGCACCAUGAGAAGACGCUGGCUGCAUCAAAGCUCCCAAACAAAAGUUUCACUUUGUGUCAAGUUCUGGAUAUGUUGGAUCUAGGUGACUGCUCAGACAAGGCUAGCAACAUUGCAGUUAUCCCUCAGAGAUUGUGAUAGCGAUGGGUCAGAUAUGGACUAUGAGGGGGAGACAGGCCAUUUGCCAGCCAGGCUGUUGAAUGUAUACGCUGAACCUAUGCAAACUGAUCAUGACAGGAACAACGUUAUCAGCGAUGAUGACGAACCCCUCACCACCCCACACUCUCCUCCCUGAGACUGGGUUGGGUCAUGGGCCCAGUGUCGUUCUUGGUGUUGUAGAGCAAUCUCAGGUGCCUCAAAGUUGCAAGUUCCUUCAUGACAACCUCUUCACUUCGCUUGCACUCCUCAAUGAAAAGACAAAAAGAGGAUGCGGGAGCUCUGGAACGAUGAGGCAAAAUCGUCUGUUUGAUGUCCCAUUCAAGCCACAGAAGGACUUCAUGAAGUUAACCCGGGAACCUCUGAGUUUCUGACCCAAGGAGACAAGUUGCUGGUCCGUUAGAAAGACAAUAAUAUUGUCACAGUGGCAACAAACAUAGUGAGACCUCUGUCAAGAGAUGGAACAAGGAGCGACGUGCCUUGACAAAGUCCCACAACCAAAAUGCAUCAACCGAUACAAUGAGCACAUGGGUGGUGUUGAACUUAACAACCUACAGGUUUCAAGAUACCUUAUCUCCAUCAGGUCUAAGAAGUGGUCGUGGCCCAUCCUUGCAAGGUCUCUCAACAGUGCACUCGUAAACAGCCAUUUAUUUUACAGAGAUGUUAUGGGAGGGACCAUCAACCUGCUCACCUUCUCAUGGAUAGUGCCACAGUCUCUUCUGCAAAAGUUAGGCACGAAUCCACUGAGCCACGGAACGAGAUCUCUACUGGCUGCUACUGUUGAAGAUCAGGCAAGAUAUGACAAAGCUUCUCACUGGCCAAUCAAAACGAUGCACCGGUUCCAUAGAUGUCGUCAUUGUGACAAAUGCAUAUGAGAAAUGCGAAGCGCCACUGCACAUUGAGUGCUUCAAGAUAUAUCACGGACAGUAGAAAAGGAGAUAAGAGUGAAUGAAAAAGGGCUGAAAAAGCCAAUAAAAGAAAAAUCGAAAAGUCAAUAAAGGGUGAGGAGAAGCAGUACAACGGACUCUAGGAAGAAAAUAAAAGUCGACGAAAAAGGGAAAAAGACUAUCAAAAUGACUGAAAUGUUUCUGGAAAAGAGGAUCAAUUGAUUCAAGACAUACUGUAUCUGACUGAUUGUAGUUCAAAAUAGUGAUUCACAAACUAAUCGUGCACUUGGUUCUGAAGCCUACCUCUAUAAUAUGUGUAUAAUAUAUAUAUAUAUAUAUAGCCCUCUACUUGAAUGCAUGUUAUACAAGCUACCUCUAUCCUAAAUGUUACCUUUAUGUUCAAUGUGAAUGAAUCACACGACUGCUAUACAGUUGUUGGUGAAUGUUGCACUAAAAUGUCACAAUGACAAUGUUACAAUGAAUAUUGCACUAAAGUACAAGAUCAAAUGUUACAAUAAAGUUACAAUAUUAAUGUUUCAAUACAUGUUGCACUAAAGUUACAGUGUUACAAUGUAUGUUACAAUAAAGUAACAACAUUGAAAUAUGUU